rnacentral:rRNA from 1 species
GAUGAACGCUGGCGGCGUGCUUAACACAUGCGAGUCGAACGAAGCAUUUGCGACAGAUUUUUUCGGAAUGAAGUUGCUUAUGACUGAGUGGCGGACGGGUGAGUAACGCGUGGGUAACCUGCCUUGUACUGGGGGAUAGCAGCUGGAAACGGCUGGUAAUACCGCAUAAGCGCACAAUGUUGCAUGACACGGUGUGAAAAACUCCGGUGGUAUAAGAUGGACCCGCGUCUGAUUAGCUAGUUGGUGAGAUAACAGCCCACCAAGGCGACGAUCAGUAGCCGACAUGAGAGGGUGACCGGCCACAUUGGGACUGAGACACGGCCCAGACUCCUACGGGAGGCAGCAGUGGGGAAUAUUGCACAAUGGAGGAAACUCUGAUGCAGCGACGCCGCGUGAGUGAAGAAGUAAUUCGUUAUGUAAAGCUCUAUCAGCAGGGAAGAUAGUGACGGUACCUGACUAAGAAGCGCCGGCUAAAUACGUG